rnacentral:lncRNA from 1 species
GGAGCCGUCCGGCGCAGCAGUUUCUAGGUCCCCACUGUCCCCGCCGUCCCGCCCCUUCGCGUCCCGGGAACCGGCUGGCUUCCGAGCCGCACUCGCCGAUCCUCCAGGCAUGCCCCGCUACGAGCUGGCUUUAAUCCUGAAAGCCAUGCAGCGGCCAGAGACUGCUGCUACUUUGAAACGUACGAUAGAGGCCCUGAUGGACAGAGGAGCAAUAGUGAGGGACUUGGAAAACCUGGGUGAACGAGCGCUUCCUUAUAGGAUCUCUGCCCACAGUCAGCAGCACAACAGAGGCGGUUGCAAGUGGAUGGCAAGCUUCCUUGUGACUUCUCAUCCUGGCAAUUUUCUGGAGUGUUUGUGACUGGACUUUAACAUUUCCAAAAUGUGGCGACAGUGACUGUUAAGUCUUCCCAAAGACGAGGGUUCCUGGGAGCCCCAGGGCUGCAAGCAUCAGGACAGCAGAGACCAAAUUCAUCAUUGAAUCCUCAACAUCUAGCACAAUAUGCCUGGCAUAAGAUAUAUCAAGGUGUACAGACUAUAUUUUUGCUGAUUUAUAAUUCAACUGCAUUGUAGUAAUGGAACCCAGUCUACAUAAAGCUGAUAUUUAAAAAUUUGGUUGGACUUCUUUUGUGACCCAGCACAUG